UACGUAGGGGGCUAGCGUUGUCCGGAAUCAUUGGGCGUAAAGGGCUCGUAGGCGGUUUGUCGCGUCGGGAGUGAAAUCCACUGGCUUAACUGGUGGCUUGCUUUCGAUACGGGCAGACUGGAGGUAUGCAGGGGAGAACGGAAUUCCUGGUGUAGCGGUGAAAUGCGCAGAUAUCAGGAGGAACACCGGUGGCGAAGGCGGUUCUCUGGGCAUGUCCUGACGCUGAGGAGCGAAAGUGUGGGGAGCGAACAGG
rnacentral:rRNA from 1 species